UACAGAGGGGGCAAGCGUUGUUCGGAAUUACUGGGCGUAAAGGGCGCGUAGGCGGCCUUCUAAGUCGAACGUGAAAUCCCCGGGCUCAACCCGGGAACUGCGUCCGAUACUGGAAGGCUUGAAUCCGGGAGAGGGAUGUGGAAUUCCAGGUGUAGCGGUGAAAUGCGUAGAUAUCUGGAGGAACACCAACGGCGAAGGCAGCUCGCUGGGACGGUACUGACGCUGAGACGCGAAAGCGUGGGGAGCGAACAGG
rnacentral:rRNA from 1 species